UUGAAUACAUUAGCAUGGAAUAAUGAAAUAGGACGUUCGAUCCUAUUUGUUGGUUUCUAGGAUUGACGUAAUGAUUAAUAGGGAUAUUGGGGGCAUUAGUAUUCAAUUGUCAGAGGUGAAAUUCUUGGAUUUAUUGAAGACUAACUACUGCGAAAGCAUUUGCCAAGGAUGUUUUCAUUAAUCAAGAACGAAAGUUAGGGGAUCGAAGACGAUCAGAUACCGUCGUAGUCUUAACCAUAAACUAUGCCGACUAGGGAUCGGAUGAUGUUAAUUUUUUAAUGACUCAUUCGGCGCCUUACG
rnacentral:rRNA from 1 species